rnacentral:rRNA from 1 species
CGCCUAAAAGCUAGCCUAGACCCCAAGAGUAACAACUAAACAUGAAUAGCCUUAAAAAACCCGACCAUACACACAACAAACCAUUUUCCCGCCCAAGUAUAGGAGAUAGAAAAGGACCAAAAUAGAGCAACAGAUAAAGUACCGCAAGGGAACGCUGAAAGAGAAAUGAAACAACCCAUAAAAGCCCAAAGAAGCAGAGAUUAACCCUCGUACCUUUUGCAUCAUGUUUUAGCCAGCAACACCCAAGCAAAGCGUACUAUAGUUUGACCCCCCGAAACUAGGUGAGCUACUUCAAGGCAGCCCGCGGGGGCACACCCGUCUCUGUGGCAAAAGAGUGGGAAGACCUUCAAGUAGAGGUGACAGACCAACCGAACCUAGUUAUAGCUGGUUGCCCAGGAAAUGAAUAGAAGUUCAGCCUCCUAGCUUCUCCACUCCCCGAUGUUUACCCACUUUGAUCAAAAGAAGCUACGAGAGUUAGUCAAAGGAGGUACAGCUCCCUUGAAUAAGAAACAACUUUAGAAGGAGGGUAAAGAUCAUAAUAACAAAAGACACUAUAUUUAGGUGGGCCUAAAAGCAGCCACCCUCACAGAAAGCGUUAAAGCUCAAAUAUAAUACAGUCUAUUAUCCUGAUAACCACAUCUUAGCCCCCUAUCCAUACUGGGCCUUCCCAUUCUUAUAUGGGAGUGACCAUGCUAAUAUGAGUAAUAAGAGAACACCGAUUCUCUCCCAGCACACGUGUACGUCGGAACGGACAAACCGCCGACUAUUAACGACCCCAGCCAAAGAGGGCAUUGAAUAGCAAGUAAGUAUAACUAGAAAAACACUCAACAAUUAACGUUAACCCCACACUGGUGUGCCAAUCCGGAAAGACUAAUUAGAAAGGAAGGAACUCGGCAAACAAAAGCCUCGCCUGUUUACCAAAAACAUCGCCUCUUGCAAAGACAAAGAAUAAGAGGUCCCGCCUGCCCUGUGACUAUAAGUUUAACGGCCGCGGUAUUUUGACCGUGCAAAGGUAGCGCAAUCACUUGUCUCUUAAAUGGAGACCUGUAUGAAUGGCACGACGAGGGCUUAACUGUCUCCCUUUUUAAGUCAAUGAAAUUGAUCUCCCCGUGCAGAAGCGGGGAUAGACAUAUAAGACGAGAAGACCCUAUGGAGCUUUAGACACUAAGACAGCCCAUGUUAAACACCCCGACCACAGGACUAAACUAAUUGGCAUCUGCCCUACUGUCUUUGGUUGGGGCGACCACGGGGGAAAACACAGCCCCCACGCGGAACGGGAGGUCUCCCUCCUAAAACCAAGAGUAACAACUCUAAGAAACAGAACUUCUGACCAAUUUGAUCCGGCAAAGCCGAUCAACGAACCGAGUUACCCUAGGGAUAACAGCGCAAUCCCCUUCUAGAGUCCAUAUCGACAAGGGGGUUUACGACCUCGAUGUUGGAUCAGGACAUCCUAAUGGUGCAGCCGCUAUUAAGGGUUCGUUUGUUCAACGAUUAAAGUCCUACGUGAUCUGAGUUCAGACCGGAGUAAUCCAGGUCAGUUUCUAUCUAUAAACAUAAUCUUUUUCUAGUACGAAAGGACCGAAAAAGGGAGGCCCAUGCUGCAAGUACGCCCCACCCCCACCUUCUGAGAACAACUAAAGACAGGCAAGGGGGUAUAUCUGAUACAUGCCAAAGAGAACGGCUU